AUUUAGAUGACGAGUCCCAAACAGAACCAAACAUGUGUCAUGGAU
rnacentral:hammerhead_ribozyme from 1 species